rnacentral:rRNA from 1 species
GAUCCUGGGCUCAGGAUAAACGCUGGCGGCGCACAUAAGACAUGCAAGUCGAACGAACUUAACCAUUAGUUUACUAUUGGAGCGGUUAGUGGCGGACUGGUGAGUAACACGUAAGCAACCUGCCUAUCAGAGGGGAACAACAGUUAGAAAUGACUGCUAAUACCGCAUAUGCCUUAGAAUCACAUGGUUCAAAAGGGAAAGGAGCAAUCCGCUGAUAGAUGGGCUUGCGUCUGAUUAG